rnacentral:rRNA from 1 species
AGCAGCCGCGGUAAUUCCAGCUCCAAUAGCGUAUAUUAAAGUUGUUGCAGUUAAAAAGCUCGUAGUUGAAUUUCGGGGUUAGUAGGUUGGUCAUGCCUCUGGUAUGUACUGGUCUCACUGACUCCUCCUUCCUGAUGAACCUUAAUGCCAUUAAUUUGGUGUUUUGGGGAAUUUGGACUGUUACUUUGAAAAAAUUAGAGUGUUUAAAGCAAGCUAACGCUUGAAUACAUUAGCAUGGAAUAAUGAAAUAGGACGUUCGAUCCUAUUUUGUUGGUUUCUAGGAUUGACGUAAUGAUUAAUAGGGAUAGUUGGUGGCAUUAGUAUUCAAUUGUCAGAGGUGAAAUUCUUGGAUUUAUUGAAGACUAACUACUGCGAAAGCAUUUGCCAAGGAUGUUUUCAUUAAUCAAGAACGAAAGUUAGGGGAUCGAUGACGAUCAGAUACCGUCGUAGUCUUAACCAUAAACUAUGCCGACUAGGGAUCGGAUGAUGUUAAUUUUUUAAUGACUCA